GGAUCUGGCGUGGCUGUGGCUGUGACUGUGGUGUAGGCUGGUGGCUGCAGCUCCAAUUGGACCACUAGGCUGGGAACCUCCUCAUGCUGUGGGUGCGGCCCUAAAAAAGCCAAAAAAAAAAAAGAUCACUCUGGUGACUACAUGGAGAAUUAGGGGGUGAGUAGUUGCAAGACUGUCAGUUACGAGGCUACUUUGAAUUGUUUGGGCCGGAGAUGAUGAUGGCUCUGAUUGAUUAGCUGGCAGCUGUAGCUCCGAUUUGGCCCCUAGCCUGAGAACCACCAUAUGCCUCAGGUGUGGCCCUAAAAAGAUUAAAAAAAAAAAAAAAAAAAAAGAGGGAGAGGAAUGCUGCUGUGGUGUGUCAAAUAAGAUGAAGACUGAUUAUUGACCCUGGGAUUUCACGAGGUUGGAGGGCAUCAGGGACACUGACCAGUGGUCCAGCAGCUAGAAGAGAGAUGGGGAAUGGGCUGAAGAAGGGGCGCUAGGGAAAUACUGCUGUGCUUGUUGGAGACAGUUGUGUGCAGAGAACAGGGCAGUUUGGAUGGGGGAUUUGUGGUCAAGGAGGGCUCCUUACAGUGAGUGAUCAUCAUGGUAUGUUUGUAGGCUGCUGGGCAUGAUCCCUUAGGAAUGGAGAAAAAAGUGUGACAUUGUUGUCACCUUGACAUUGAUAGUCCCAGUUUUACAAAGCAGUCCGGAGAUGGUUGACUUGGGUUGGAAGUGUUCUCAAUCCACCUUCUUCAGAGAGCCUUUGAAAGUUUCUUUCUUUUUUUUUUUUUUUUUUUUUUUCUCCUCUUGGCUUGCUUAGUCUUAUUGUGUAUCUCCAUAGAUUUUUAUCUUUCACGUUUCUGGUAAAUGGUGCUUAUUAGGAAGUGGAACCAAUUGUGUAUUUAAAAAAAAAUGUGAAAGACAUUUAACAGGGAAUGUGUUUGCCAAGGCCCAUUGUUUACCACAAAAAGGAAACCACUGACUUCUUGUUACAUCAGUGAAGAUAAAAUUAUUUUGUGAACACAGUACUCCUUUUGUGAGUAACAUUUUUUCAUACCGUGAUCAAAAGAAAUUAUUUUAUGAAAACAGUAAGCUAAUGGGAAAUGUAGAUUUUUGUUUGUUACAAGUGGGGAUUUAUUUAGUAGGAGCCCUUAAGAUUUCUCUCUCUCUCUCCCUCAUUUGGUUUGUUGUUUUUUUUGUUUUUUUGGUUUUUUUUUUAGGGCCACACCCAAAGUACAUGGAAGUUCCCAGGCUAGGGUGUGAAUUGGAGCUACAGUUACUGGCCUACACCACAGCCACACCUCUGUGACCUACACAGCAAUGCGGGAUCCUUAACCCACUGAGCAAGGCCAGGAAUCAAACCUGCAUUCUUAUGGGUCCUAGUCAGGUUUGUUAACCGCUGAGCCAUGAAGGGAACUCCCUCAAUUUUUUUUUUUCUCUUCAAACCAUUUAAAAUUCUUCUGGUGGUGGAGAUACUUGUUUAAAUUUUGAAAAAAAUGUAGUUUAAACAAUUGAGAAGUUAGGUAUCAAGGUCUUAAUUUUUUGAAAUGUAAUUAAAAAGUUUUAGGAGGUCCCAUUGUGGCUUGGUGGGUUAAGGACCUGCUGUCUCCAUGAGGAUUCAGGUUCAAUCCCUGGUUUUACUCAGUGGCUUGGGGAUCCAGUGUUGCUGUAAGCUGUGGCAUAGCUCACAGAUGUGGCUCGGAUCUGGUGUUGCAGUGGCUGUGGCCAUGAUUUGACCCCUGGCCUGAGAACUUCCAUAUACCAUAGGUGUGGCCAUUUAAAAAAAAAAAAAAAAA
rnacentral:lncRNA from 1 species